UAAGGAGCUUGCUCCUUUGACGUUGCGGCGGACGGGUGAGUAACACGUGGAUAACCUACCUAUAAGACUGGGAUAACUUCGGGAAACCGGAGCUAAUACCGGAUAACAUAUUGAACCGCAUGGUUCAAUAGUGAAAGGCGGCUUUGCUGUCACUUAUAGAUGGAUCCGCGCCGUAUUAGCUAGUUGGUAAGGUAACGGCUUACCAAGGCAACGAUACGUAGCCGACCUGAGAGGGUGAUCGGCCACACUGGAACUGAGACACGGUCCAGACUCCUACGGGAGGCAGCAGUAGGGAAUCUUCCGCAAUGGGCGAAAGCCUGACGGAGCAACGCCGCGUGAGUGAUGAAGGUCUUCGGAUCGUAAAACUCUGUUAUCAGGGAAGAACAAAUGUGUAAGUAACUGUGCACAUCUUGACGGUACCUGAUCAGAAAGCCACGGCUAACUACGUGCCAGCAGCCGCGGUAAUACGUAGGUGGCAAGCGUUAUCCGGAAUUAUUGGGCGUAAAGCGCGCGUAGGCGGUUUUUUAAGUCUGAUGUGAAAGCCCACGGCUCAACCGUGGAGGGUCAUUGGAAACUGGAAAACUUGAGUGCAGAAGAGGAAAGUGGAAUUCCAUGUGUAGCGGUGAAAUGCGCAGAGAUAUGGAGGAACACCAGUGGCGAAGGCGACUUUCUGGUCUGUAACUGACGCUGAUGUGCGAAAGCGUGGGGAUCAAACAGGAUUAGAUACCCUGGUAGUCCACGCCGUAAACGAUGAGUGCUAAGUGUUAGGGGGUUUCCGCCCCUUAGUGCUGCAGCUAACGCAUUAAGCACUCCGCCUGGGGAGUACGACCGCAGGGUUGAAACUCAAAGGAAUUGACGGGGACCCGCACAAGCGGUGGAGCAUGUGGUUUAAUUCGAAGCAACGCGAAGAACCUUACCAAAUCUUGACAUCCUUUGACCGCUCUAGAGAUAGAGUUUUCCCCUUCGGGGGACAAAGUGACAGGUGGUGCAUGGUUGUCGUCAGCUCGUGUCGUGAGAUGUUGGGUUAAGUCCCGCAACGAGCGCAACCCUUAAGCUUAGUUGCCAUCAUUAAGUUGGGCACUCUAAGUUGACUGCCGGUGACAAACCGGAGGAAGGUGGGGAUGACGUCAAAUCAUCAUGCCCCUUAUGAUUUGGGCUACACACGUGCUACAAUGGACAAUACAAAGGGCAGCUAAACCGCGAGGUCAAGCAAAUCCCAUAAAGUUGUUCUCAGUUCGGAUUGUAGUCUGCAACUCGACUACAUGAAGC
rnacentral:rRNA from 1 species